GGUGGGUGGGAGGGUGGAACUAGAAAGCGGGCCAUGAUCACAGACUAGUGCAAAACAUACAGAUAUAUAUAUACAAGUUUAGGCCAAAGACUAAUAUUUUUUUUGGGGGGGGGGGUGCUUCGCUGAAUUGGAAUAGAUCGCCCAAAACUCAUACAUGGAAUUACCUCCUGACCACCCUUUUUCUUAAAAAGUUCCUGCAGAAACUUUUCCCUCUUUUUUUGGCGUAUUUUGUUCAGAAAUACAAGUGGAUUUUUUCCUAUUUUCAUGGUUUUACCCACCGGCGUGCUAAAUUUUGGGGGAUGUCACCGUGGAGCGGCUGGUUGGUCUUGGGACUGUUUCUGCAAGAUUGGGGCCUGGCCUACCCUUCAGAGCUGGCGUUCCUCUUGGAGCCCAGUGACGUGAUCGCCAUCCGAGAUCGCCCGCUCCUCUUGCACUGCCAAGUGGAAGGUGAGGCGCCCAUCGCCAUCACCUGGUACCGGAACGGGGCGGCCCUCUCCAACGACAGCCAUGCCGCCAUCUUGUCCAACGGCUCCCUGCGGCUGGAAAGUGUGCACCGGCGGCCCCGGGGAGGCGGAGCGGCGGACGCCAAUGCCACGAGCGACUCCAGCGCCGGAGAGUACAGCUGCACUGCCCAGAACCGCUACGGCCUGCUGGUCAGCCGCAAGGCCCGAGUGCAAAUUGCGACUCUGUCCAAAUUCCACAUGCACCCGGAAUCCAUGGCCGUAGAAGAGGGAGGCGUCGCCCGGUUCCAGUGCUUCAUCCAGGGCGUCCCCGAAGCCACAAUAACCUGGGAGCGCAACCGCACAGCCCUGCUGACGGAUGACUACCGGUACACGUUGCUCCCCACUGGGAUCCUUCAGAUCACAGGCGUGCGGCGUUCCGACGUGGGCACCUACCGCUGUGUGGCCAGCAACAUCGCCAACACCCGUUACAGCCAGGAAGCCAUGCUGAGCAUUAGCGUCUCAGUGGCCAAGCUCUACAAGGAGCCGGUCAUCCUCUCCGGUCCGCAGAACCUGACCAUCACGGUGCACCAGACGGCCAUCUUGGAAUGCAUUGCUACUGGCAACCCUCGGCCAAUCGUGUCUUGGAGUCGCUUGGACGGACGUUCCAUCGGCGUCGAAGGGAUCCAGGUCCUGGGAACUGGGAACCUCAUGAUCUCAGACGUGUCCGUGAAGCACGCCGGAGUUUAUGUCUGCGCCGCCAACCGGCCUGGCACCAGGGUUCGCCGUACGGCACAGGGCAUCCUCAUGGUUCAAGCCCCGCCGGAGUUUGUGCAAUGGCCCCAAUCCGUCUCCAAGCCCCCCGGCAGCAGCGCCAUUUUCACCUGCGUGGCCCAAGGUGUGCCGGAACCCCACCUGAUCUGGCUGAAGAACGGCAAGGUCCUGGCGCCCGGCGAGAACAUCAAGCUGACGCACAACAACAGCACCUUGAUGAUCCAGCGGAUUACCUCAGCGGACGAAGCCAUCUACCAGUGCAUUGCGGAAAACAGCGCAGGGACCAACCAGGCCAGCGCCCGGCUAGCUGUGGCCCUGUCCAAGGAGCUGCCCAGCUCCCCAGAAGGGGUCCAGGCCACUGCCCUCUCCACCACCUCCAUCCAGGUGUCUUGGCUGGAGCCCCCCAUGGAAGUGACAGAGGCCAUAAUCGGUUACGUGCUGCAUAUCCGCAAGGCAGGAGAGUCCGACAGCCGGGAGCUCCAGGAGGCCGUCAGCAAGACCACCUUCCAGCACGUCUUCACAAACCUGGAGCCCUCGACAACGUACUCUAUCUACCUGAAGGCUUACUCACCCCUGGGCGCCAGCCAGGAUUCCCAGCCCAUCCUGGCCACCACUCUGGGCAGCAUCCCUGCAGCACUGGGCUUUUUCACCAAGAUUCUCAACAACAGUGCCGUCUACGUCUUUUGGGAGCUGCCUGCCAAGCCGGGCCGAAUCGAAGGCUUCAAGCUCUACCUCCGAAAGCUGCCCAGCGCCCACUACGAGGGCCCUGAGCUCUUAUCCGGCAUGGCCAACUCUUUCACGUUCAGCAACUUGGAACCAUCUGCCAUGUACGAGAUCAAACUCCAGGCCUUCAAUGGGAAUGGCGAUGGGAACAGCAGUGUGCGGUUUGUCUCCCUCAAGGAGAACUCUGAGAGGCUGGAUGCCAACUCAGUGUGCCAGUGUGGGCAGGACGGGGAGAGCUCCCUCGCUGGCAUUGUGGUUGGCGUCCACAUUGGCAUGGCGUGCAUUAUAUUCUGUGUCCUCUUCCUUAUGUUUGGCUACCGCAAGAGCCUGUUCUGUAAGAAAGGGACCCAAGAAAGCUGGACCAUCCCACAGGGAACAGAACCGGUGCAGACCACCACGCGGGAGCCUCCCCGGAACCAGCGGAAGCUGGAGGGUGGGGCAAAACCCUCAGAGAUGGUGGAACUGGUUACCCAGAACCCCCCAUCCUCCGAUGGACUCACCGCCCAUGACACUCCCCACUUUGAAGUGACCGUCGAGCGCUGCCCUCCUUCACAGCCCAGUGGUUAAGCCAAUGCCCGGUGGGAACGGAGUAGGGGGAGACCCCUCGAUGGAGCCCGGUGGCAGCUCUGUUGAGGCAGGGCCUUCCCCUGCCCCCAAUUUCCCACCACCCAUCCAGGAUUCCAACCGCAAACCUCCAAAGAAUCUACCUCACCUCCGCUGGACGGCCAGCCCCAUAGCGUCCGCUCCAGCCGCCACCUGAGCCCUACUCCCACCCCAGUUCUCCCGAAUGAUCUAUUUUUGAUACAAAUACCAAAACUACCUCAACCUGCCAGCCACCCUCUGGCUGCUUAAAUCCCACCCCCCCUCUUGCCGGAAGGGAGAAGGGGUAGUGGCAGAGAGGUGGGGCGACAGGGAUCCAGCUUUCCACGGCAACCGGAAGGUUCCGGAACUUGAGGCAGCCAUCUUGAGGGAAAGCCAGAAAGCGGGGGGAAAGAGACAACUUCUCCCUGCUCUCAUUCUUGGCUGCCUCAAGAAUGGAUGUGGACGCUGAUGUCCCCCUGCCCAAAUUGUGCCGAAGCCAAACCCCCUACGAAUUACCGGGGCUUUGGGGAGGUUGAGGCUCCAAAAUUACUCCCUAAUGAGUCAUGUGGUCCAUUCGGGGUGGGAUGAGGACCGUCCCUUUCUGACACCUCCCACCCACGGUGCCUGGGCGCUCGGCACCAGCAUACCAAAUAUCGCCAAACCAAAAGUGGGAGCAGCAGCAGCGCACCCCCCCUUUCCCAAAUACCCACCUCCGUCCUCUGUCUUGAGGGGGGCAAUGGGGUGGGCGGGGGGGGGGAGACGCUUCACCCAAAGCCUCACAUUCCUUUCCCCUUUUCCAUAGCUCCUCUUGCUGCUUCCUACAGAGUGUCUUUUUUUUGAUAUAUAUAUAUUAUAUAUAUGACGUCUCUAUCCAAAUAUUUUUUAAGAUGAUACACAAAAGUUUGCUGAACUGCUUUCCAAAGAUGUAGAGCUUUAACCGUGUGUGAGGACAGAGCCUUAGCAUUUGACGUUUCUCAGAAGAGGGAGGACGGCGGCCUACGAGGCGUAGGGGGCCGCUGUUAGCCCUCCGGAAACAGCCGCGGCAGCUGGGACCUCCGGCCCGACUGCCGUGGGGCUCUUCAGUUGUAAGGGGGAACGUAUUUAUUGACAGAACCAAAAUGUCCCACCCAGAUUCUGGCUGUGGGCGGACUCCCUCAGUCCCCUGAGGGAGGCCAUCCAAGACUUGGUUGGAGGCUCAGUGACUUAGCUCUCCAAAUUACUCCCAAACCAGAAUUACCUCCAGAACCUCCCUUAGAGCUAAAGAGCCUCGACCGUGAGGCCCACAUAGUGUGUCCAUCUCAGGGGACCAGACACUAUGGUUACACCAGCGCCUUCCUCCUUUUCUUCUUUUCCUUCUUUUCCUGGCCUCUUUCUCUUUUCUCGGACACCAAAGCCGGCAUAUCAAGAUGCGGUGGAAGCUUAGCUCCAUCCUCCUCAGGCGGCUUUAAAAAAAACAACGGACGGGGUUUUAACUCGAACAGGAAGCUCAGCCAUGAAGUUCACAGCCACAAAAGUCCAGCACAUCUCCCCUCUUCUUUUUAUUGUUGGCAGGAGCAGGGACUGAGCAACGGGAGCUCACCCGUCGUGGGGAUUCGAACCGCCGACCUUCUGAUCGGCAAGUCCUAGGCUCUGUGGUUUAACCCACAGCGCCACCUGGGGCCACCCCAAAGCACUCUCCAAAUUCUGCCGGUUCACAACUUUAGCCUUGGCUUCAACUGCUGUCCUUGCUCCAGCAGGGUGAUAUUCUCGCCCAAAGAGGACAACCACCCCACCUCUUCUCCAAGGAGCUCAAGGUGGCAAACAUGGUUCUCCUCCCCUACCCAUUUUAUCCUCACAACAAGCCUGUGGGGUAGGUUAGGCUGAGAGAGAUUGGCUGGCCCAAGGUCACACCCACUGAAGAUUCAUGGCUGAGCAGGAAUCCUGGUUUCGUGGGUCCUAGACCAAACACCUUAGCCACUCAGACUGUAGAGGUGGACGUACGUGGUCUAGAUGAUCCCAGCAAAAGCCCCCUAAGCUUUGUCCGUGUGAACAUGGCCUCACAGUGCCUAGGCUGGUGUCCUUUCCAUCUGUCCUUUCCUUCUCUUCCUGAUUUUGAUUGUCAGCUCUUUCAAAACAAAGAAAAGCACAGUCGGCCAGCGUUAGACUGUAUGUGAGAGAGAGCGCAUGUCCGAGUGACCUCAAAAUUUGCCUCGCGCAGGUGUGAUUCUCUCUGCGCGCUUGCGGAAAAACGAAACCCUGUCGACCCAAAGUUUUGUGUAUGAGAGGAAAAGAAAAAAAGUACUGUUAGGUAGACGUUUCCUAAAGCUUCGCUGACCCCCUCUUCCCUAUUUUUCACCCUAGCUCCUUCUCUAGGAAUCAUAACCAAAAUAUCCCCCUUACUUUUCCCUCUUCCCUUUUCCCCUACCAAAAAAAAAUAUGAAAAAAAAUUAAUAAUACUCAACCUUUUUCUUUCGGAUUAUUUUUAGUGCUUUAGGCAAAAAUGAUCUCUUUUCCUAGUUGAUGAGAGUUGAGAUUUCCCCACCUCCCUUUGAUAGACGAGUGUCUCCCAGAGAGCGGAGACACACACAGUGGUUCUACGGAAUCGCCAGAGGCCGACAGGAAACGGGGAGCUUUCCAACGGCACCCCACUUCCUGUCAAAAUUAACUGCCCUUUCAAAACGGGCCCAACCCAGAGUCUGUUGUUCCUCCUUUAUUUCUUUUGGUUUUUUACAUAUCCACACUGACCCACCUCGAUUCAAGCAUAACCAAAGGUGCUUUUCAAAACCGUUGCAGCUGAUCUUCAAAGAUGCCCACUGGUGGCCUAAUUUCUGGUCACGUGGGAACACGUUUACUAUAUAGCUUUAAGAAACCACUCGAGCGACUCCACUCGCGUCUCUGUGGCUGGCGGGGGGCUGAAUCUGCCCCCCUUUUGUUUUCAUUUCACAUUAUCCCAACCUUAAGCUCAUUUUUGUGUCGGUUUGUGCAAUUCUUUUAAAAAAGAAGCCUGCAUUAAGAUCCGCAGAUAUUCUACCAUCAGGCAAAAACCGUGUAGAAGAAAAUGCAGCUAACAGGCUUCUUAUUUUGGAAGCGACUUUCCCAAAUAUAACGAUGACUCUGGGAUUUUGCUUUUGCAAACACACACAUCCUUGUGUGCAGAAUUUGGAAGGCGAGCUGCGUUUCAGUUUGUGUUCUGGUUUGGGAAUCACGAAUCGGGUCGGUCCGUGUUAAAAUGCCAACUGAACUCAUUUCUCUGAGCCUGUUUCCUCACAUGCAGCUCAUCUUAAUGGCCACCGGCCUGCUCUUGAGAUCUAUUAAUGUCAGCCGAGGUCUGGUAAGAAGCUAAAAGGCCACCCGAGUGGUGGCCAAUCCCACUUCUAAGAAAUCUCCACCCGUCCCAGAAGCCACGCCCCCUUUCAGGGUUGGCGCCCGCCCCCCUUGUUUGCAGGAAGCCACAUUCAUUAGAGUAUCUUCUUACAAGGACUGAGUCAUCCUUGCCCACUUUUUAAUUGAGAUGUCAAAAGCAGCUGCCCAACCCAAGUCUUUGAGAUGCUCGUUUCAGUAAACAUUGAACAGAAGUCUUCUUCCACCACCUGCCUGACGUCCCAAGGUAGAAUAUUCGGUCCCUACGCUUUGCAUACCACUGGCUCCUCUACAAUCUUUCCAUUGCUACUCUUGACAGUUCCUUCAUCUGCGGAUCCGCUCUUACAACAGUCUUACAACUUCUUAUCUGUUCAUUGCCAGUGGCGACACUGAAUGACAGAUCUCUGUCCUAUUUCGACUUAUCUCCUUAAGAACCUUUUCGGAAAAUAUUUAACUUCCCCUGGGUGGGGAAUCUGCAUCCCGCUGGACAUUGCUGGACUACAACUCCCAUCAGUCCUAGGGCUAGGGCUGAUGGGAGUUGGGCGUCCAAUGACAUAUGGAGGAUCCCCUCUCGCCCACCCAAGUUUCCCCAGGCUUAAGCAUGCAGAAAUGUUCCUCAGUGGAUCUUCUGUUUGCAGCCUGAUCCUGCACAUGUUUUCCCUCUCGUAUGCAAGUCCCACAUUUCAAUGCAAUUCUCAAAUACAUGUGCAGAGCAAGGUUUCCCAGACUUGGGUCUCCAGCUGUUUUUUUUUGGACUACAACUCCCAUCAUCCCUGACCACUGGUCCUGCUAGUUAGGGGUGAUGGGAGUUGCAGUCCAAGAACAGCUGGGGACCGAAGUUUGGGAAACCCUGGUGUAGAGGAUGAAAAUCACAGCUUUCCCCUUCACCAUCAUCUUCCUUUCCCCCCAUUGCCCAGUAACUGCUUGGUUUCUGAGUUUCUCAGUGUAUUCAUAUAUAUGAUUCAGUGGCGGUUUUCCCCUUCAAAAUUUGCUUUAAUUAAGAGCUGUGAAGCUGUGAUGAAUUCAUCACUACUCCAGCAUAUUUGUUCAUACAUGAGGCUCCUCCUACCACAAUGUUCCCCAUGGUUGUAAAGUUAACACACCAAACUACUGCUUCUUACAGGAGAUAACACAAGAAGCACUUUAGUUAAGCACAAAACAUGUCCCAUAUUGAGAAACCCACAUAUCCAGCAUCACCCAAUCCCAGCUCACUUUACACUACGGACAAGCCACUUUUCAAACUGUUUUAACUUUCAAAACAAGCCAUCUCUUGUAGAAUUGUUCAAGCACCACCAUUUUGCACCUAUUUAAAAUCUGGGAAUGUUUGCUCCAUUGGGUCAUCACACAACUUUAAAAUUACAACCCCCGCCCCCAAUCUUUCAGCACAAUUGUGGCCAAACAUAAAUGUGAAAAGAUAACUUAAGCUUUCACACAGCUUUAUUGACCAGGGCUGUCCAACAGGUCGAUCAUGAUCUACCGGUAGAUCAUGGGCUGUCCCUGGUUGAUCCUGGUUGAUCUCGUGAUCUCCAGCGAUUGCCCCCCUCCCCCCAAAAUGCUCAACAACUCUGGUCAAUCCAAUGGGUAGAUUACUGCCAGUUGGUUUAUAAUGGGAGUAGAUCGCAGUCUCUUGGGAGUUGGACACCCCUGUUACAGACCACAAAAUCCAUGGUGUUGGGUUUGACGCAGCUUUAAAGACUACAAAACCCAUGGCACAGCUCCGAUGCACGAACAUAGAAAACUGCCUUAUAACAAGUCACACCACUAGCUCACCACGAUCUAUUGCUGGUUGGCAGCAGCUCGCCAGCAUUUCAAAGCGAGUCUUUCACAGCCCUACCUGGAGAAGUUGGGGAUUGAAUUUGGGACCUCCUGUGUGCCAAGCAGAUGCUCUGUCACUGAGCUGUGGCGCUCCAAUCAAUCAAUCAAUCAAUCAAUCAAUAAACAAACCUACAACACCCAAAACUACUGCUGAAGUGAGAACCACCAUAGACUUAAAUAACUGGGAAAGCAGUGGAGAAUGGAGGCAAUUAAGGUUACCAGAAGUCCCCGUUUCCGGGGGACAGUCCCCGGAUUUACAAAUCAGUCCCCUAUCUUGUCCACUAUCAUUCCGACUGAAGUUAAAAAGUGUCCCAGGAUUCAUUGAAAAAAGUCUGGUAACCUUAGAGGCAAGGCGACAUAGGGAACCAAGGAAAUCCCAUAUCUGGCAACAGAUUUGCCAGGGGAAUCUUGAGCUUUAGCAGAGCUCGACCAACAGAAUUAGUAAGAAUAUUUCUCCAGUGGUUUUUGCACAUUCGGCAUAGAUGCAUGAUGGAGGAGACUGACGUUAGUCAAGGGUAAUCUAAGCGGCACAAACCGAAACGCAGGAGAAAAGAAGUAUUUAACUUCAUGCAUGACAGACUACUACUGAUAUUUCCAAAAUACAGUGAAAUAUUCACUGAAGUAAGUUUUAGAAGACAACAACAACUUCUCCUAUUGCUUUAAGCCAGCUUUCCACAACCUGACACUCUCUGGGUGUUGUGGGACUCAAACUCCCAUCACCUGCAGCCAGCAUGGCCAACUCUCAGGGAUGAUGGGUUUUGUAGUCCAGGAACAUCUGGAGGGUACGAGGUUGGGAAAGACCAUUUUAAAUGUUUCCAGGUGCGAGGUCAACUACCUCUGAAUGUGAAGCAACAGGGCAAUGUGCCAGAG